UACGUAGGGUCCGAGCGUUGUCCGGAAUUAUUGGGCGUAAAGGGCUCGUAGGCGGUCUGUUGCGUCGGGAGUGAAAACUUACAGCUUAACUGUGAGCGUGCUUCCGAUACGGGCAGACUUGAGGUAUUCAGGGGAGAACGGAAUUCCUGGUGUAGCGGUGAAAUGCGCAGAUAUCAAGAGGAACACCUGAGGUGAAGACGGGUUGCUGGGCUGACACUGACGCUGAGGCGCGAAAGCCAGGGGAGCAAACGGG
rnacentral:rRNA from 1 species